UCACACCCUAACUUGGUGCCGCGGCGUGGUGGCCUCCAGCGAUCCCUAAAUUUUCCGACCUACCACCACGGUUCUCGCCGCCGCUGCCGCCGCCGCUGAAGUUCGCCGCCGGCAUGGACGCGCCGCCCGACGGUUACCGGCGGAACGUGGGGAUCUGCCUCAUCGAUCCUUUCCAUAAGAUCUUUGCAGCGUCGAGGCUCGAUGAACCCGGUUCCUGGCAGAUGCCUCAGGGAGGUGUGCAUGAAGGAGAAGAUCCCAGAAAUGCUGCCCUUAGGGAGUUGAGGG
rnacentral:misc_RNA from 1 species